rnacentral:tRNA from 1 species
GCCGCAUUAGCUCAGCCGGUAGAGCAAUUGCUUCGUAAGUAAUGGGUCGGGGGUUCAAAUCCCUCAUGCGGCACCG